CAAUAGUCCUUUGUUGAAGAAGGAACUCUCUUUUGAGUAAGGACUUAAGAAGUUCAAUAUUUUUGUAACUACUAAUUUAAUUGUAUCUAUUACUUUAAAAGGUGCUGCCACCUACGCUUACGCGCGAUAUUUUCAACAAUUGUUAGAUUGAAAUUUUGUGUUAAUUGAAAAACAGUAUUCCAUGAUACGAUUCUAACCUCCAUUUUGAUAUUCUUCCAUUAAUUCUUCAUGCAAGUGUAAACGUAUUACUUGGGUAUAUAAUUAUUAGUAAAACUUGACUAUGUUGGAGAGACUACGAAAUUCUUGUGGUUGGAGAGCUGGUGCAAAGCAAAUUUCAGUCGAUGCAAUGAUACCGAUAUUUGCGGUUCCAAUAUUGGCACUAAUAGCCGCACAAACAGUGCAAUGUACUAUAAUUAUAUUUGUUGCAACACCAAUAUUGGUGUAUUACUUACAUCAUAAUUUUCUGAGAUUUCUACUUCGCACAAAAUUUUUUUUCAUGUGGACAUGUACAAGUGUAAUCAUGUUGAUGCUGAUCUUUGAAAUAAGUGUUGUACCAUUAUUAGAGAUCUUACCAGAAGAGAAUCUAGUGUUUAUAAUAUGUGUUGUGGGCGGUACAUCGUGUGGCUAUGUGACUAAAGUAAAUGCAGAUUCUGUAGCUCAAGAAGGUACUUCAGCCCAAGGCUUAGAGCUUGGUGAAGGAAGUGGAGAACUUUGUAUUACAUGUAAGAGAAGAGCACCUCCUAAAGCGCAUCAUUGUCAAAUGUGUCAGACAUGUAUCCUGAAUAGAGAAUAUCACUGUAAAUGGUUGGACUGUUGUAUAGGUUCAAGCAAUUUAAAAUGGUACUUGGGAUGUUUAUUCUUCUCAGCUAUAGCUUUUAUUUAUGGUUCCAAUUUAACCAUGACUAGCGUAUGCCAUCCAUUUAUACUCAUUGGUACUAUUCUUAUGCCAGAUGAUUGCAGCGAUGUAUAUCAUCAAUUAGACCUUGCCCUUUGCUUCAUCUCGGCACUCUACAGUUUGCUUGUUGGGCUAGUAGUAGUUUUUUAUUUAAUAUAUCAUCUUUGGUUGAUUUACCUUGGUACCACAUCAAACGAACGGCGUCUCCUUGAAGCUGGAAGCCCAUAUGACCAUGGAAUGUUAAAAAAUGUAUUCCGAUUAUUUUGCUGCAAAACUUAGAUAUUAAAUGUAGCUUAGAUUAUUAAACUUACUUUUUAUGAAAGAUGACACUUUGUGCUAUACAAAGGAUACUAGAACAAUUGAAACAAAGAGGCCAAAACAUCAGGCAUAGCGACAUUAAUUAUACUUUUAUUCUAUUAUUAC
rnacentral:misc_RNA from 1 species